UACGCAGGGUGCAAGCGUUGUCCGGAAUUAUUGGGCGUAAAGAGCUCGUAGGCGGUCUGUUGCGUCGGCUGUGAAAACCCGGGGCUCAACCCCGGGCCUGCAGCCGAUACGGGCAGACUAGAGUUCGGCAGGGGAGACUGGAAUUCCUGGUGUAGCGGUGAAAUGCGCAGAUAUCAGGAGGAACACCGGUGGCGAAGGCGGGUCUCUGGGCCGAUACUGACGCUGAGGAGCGAAAGCGUGGGGAGCGAACAGG
rnacentral:rRNA from 1 species